UCCCUGGAGGACUAGUGGUCAGGCCUCUGCGCUGUUGCUGCCAUGGCCUGGGUUCGAUUCGCAGCCAGGGAA
rnacentral:tRNA from 1 species